rnacentral:rRNA from 1 species
UUUUUCGGUGUGGGAUGAGCUCGCGGCCUAUCAGCUUGUUGGUGGGGUAAUGGCCUACCAAGGCGUCGACGGGUAGCCGGCCUGAGAGGGUGUACGGCCACAUUGGGACUGAGAUACGGCCCAGACUCCUACGGGAGGCAGCAGUGGGGAAUAUUGCACAAUGGGCGCAAGCCUGAUGCAGCGACGCCGCGUGGGGGAUGACGGCCUUCGGGUUGUAAACUCCUUUCGCUAGGGACGAAGCUUGUUUGUGACGGUACCUGGAGAAGAAGCACCGGCUAACUACGUGCCAGCAGCCGCGGUAAUACGUAGGGUGCGAGCGUUGUCCGGAAUUACUGGGCGUAAGGAGCUCGUAGGUGGUUUGUCGCGUCGUUUGUGUAAGCCCGCAGCUUAACUGCGGGACUGCAGGCGAUACGGGCAUAACUUGAGUGCUGUGGGGGAGACUGGAAUUCCUGGUGUAGCGGUGGAAUGCGCAGAUAUCAGGAGGAACACCGAUGGCGAAGGCAGGUCUCUGGGCAGUAACUGACGCU